rnacentral:tRNA from 1 species
UGCGGUGUAGCUCAGUGGUAGAGCAAACGCUUGAUAAGCGUUCGGUCGACAGUUCGAAUCUGUCCUCCGCAACCA